rnacentral:rRNA from 1 species
GACGAACGCUGGCGGCGUGCUUAACACAUGCAAGUCGAACGGAAAGGCCCUGCUUUUGUGGGGUGCUCGAGUGGCGAACGGGUGAGUGACACGUGAGUAACCUGCCCUUGACUUUGGGAUAACUUCAGGAAACUGGGGCUAAUACCGGAUAGGAGCUCCUGCUGCAUGGGGGGGGUUGGAAAGUUUCGGCGGUGGGGGAUGGACUCGCGGCUUAUCAGCUUCUUGGUGGGGUAGUGGCUUACCAAGGCUUUGACGGGUAGCCGGCCUGGGAGGGUGACCGGCCACAUGGGGACUGAGAUACGGCCCAGACUCCUACGGGAGGCAGCAGUGGGGAAUAUUGCACAAUGGGCGGAAGCCUGAUGCAGCAACGCCGCGUGCGGGAUGACCGCUUUCGGGUUGUAAACCGCUUUCGCAGGUGACGAAGCGUGAGUGACGGUAAUGGGUAAAGAAGCACCGGCUAACUACGUG